ACAAGUUCUACCAGUAGAAUAAUCACCACCGCUCGUAUGAACAGUGUCGCUCAUUUAUGUUGUUCAUCAUUCAAUGGUCAUAUUUACAAUAUAAGGGCUCUUGAUAUGGUGCACUCAAGGCAGUUAUUUCACACAAGAUUAUUUAAGUCCGAUGAAGAUUGCCCUUCAUACCUUCAAGAAAUUUCUAAGCAAAUAUUGCAAAAAUGCGAUGGGUUACCUUUGGCGAUCAUUGCUAUAUCUGGUUUGUUAGCUAACACAGAAAAAACAGAGGUUCUGUGGAAUCAAGUGAAAGAUUCAAUUGGUCGUACACUUGAAAGGAAUCCUUGCGUCGAAGGAAUGAUGAAGAUAUUGUCACUUAGUUAUUUUGAUCUGCCUCCUUAUUUAAAAACUUGCCUCUUAUACCUGAGCAUGUAUCUAGAAGAUUCUAUUAUUGAGAAGGAGGACCUGAUAAGAAGAUGGAUUGGUGAAGGAUUCAUUCAUAGAGAAGGCAGAUACACGGCAUAUGAGGUAGGAGAAAGGUGUUUUAAUGAACUACUCAAUAGGGGUUUGAUCCAACCUGGGGGGACAGAUAUCUAUGGCGAAGUGAAGAGUUGUCGGGUUCAUGACACAAUUCUUGAUUUCAUCAUAUCCAAGUCCAUAGAAGAGAACUUUGUUACUAUACUUGGGGUUCCCACUAUGACAAUUGUAAACCAAAGCAAAGUUGUUCGUCGACUCUGUCUACAAGGUGUCGAGGAAGGAAAUUCAGCAGUAUUGAUCGCAGAUCUCGUGUUUUCCCAUGUUCGAUCACUUACUAUGGUUAGAGGUCUGUUGUCAAUUCCUUCUUUGGAGGAGUUCAGACAUCUGCGUGUUCUCAACUUGAAGGAUUGCUCCGAAUUGGAAGAUCAACAUCUUGAAAAUAUAGUGAGGUUGUUCCAGCUGAGGUACCUGAAUCUCAAACGUACAGGAAUAAGCAAGCUCCCAGAACAAAUUGGUCGUUUAGGAUGCUUAGAGGUGCUGGACCUAACAGGGACAUAUGUAAAGGAAUUACCUGCAUCUAUUGUUAACCUCAGAAAAUUGAUGCAUCUACUUGUUAAUGAUUUUGUUAAAUUUCCUGAUGGGAUUGCAAAGAUGCAAGCAAUAGAGACGUUGAAAGUUGUCAAUGCCUCCAUUCAGCCAUUAGACUUCCUGUGCGGCCUUGGCAAACUAAAGAAUUUGAGGAAUCUGCAGCUUUACCUUGAUUUCGGAUUUGAUUCUGACACUGAGGAUACAAAUAUGGUUGGGGGGGAGCACAACAAAGCUAUUGUCUCCUCCCUGUAUAAGCUAGGCACCCAAAAUCUCCGCUCCCUGACUAUUGGGGAUCGGAGCGGCCUCUUACAUGAGGAAUCUUUGUGCCUGCCUACCCUCGAUGACCUUUUUAUAUGGUUUCCAGCCUUCCCGCAGCCGACAUGGGUGGGCUCCCUCAGAAACCUCCAGCAGCUACGCCUUGUUGUGAAGAGGUUCAAGCAGGACGACCUCUGCACCCUUGGGGCUUUACCCAGUCUGCUCGUUAUGUAUCUGGUGGAACAAACAGAGUCAAGCGGAAAGCUCAGAUUCAGUGGUGAGGUUGGGUUCCGAUUCUUGAAGAUUUUUAUUUAUGGCGGAUGUUUGGAACCAGUAGAUCUGAUGUUUGGGACAGGAUCCAUGCCAAAGCUUGAAAAACUAGAGCUUAAUGCGUUUUGCAUGGUUGAAGCUAACUCUCUCGGCUUUGGAAUUGAGAACCUCCCCUGCCUCGCUAGUGUUAAAUGCAUUAUGGUUGUUGGUGAUGAUGGCAUUGUUGAAGCUGUGAAGACUGCCAUGGAGAGAGGAGCCAGCACACAUCCCAACCACCCUAGUCUACUCUUUCAGAGACGUUGA
rnacentral:rRNA from 1 species